GCCCGAAUGGUCUAGUGGUAUGAUUCCUGCUUUGGGUGUUAACAUAAACAUCAACUUGCAGGAGGUCUCCGGUUCAAACCCGGAUUCGGGCC